UAAUUGGCAGCAGAGAACUGGAAGGAAAGGCGGCCAAAGGAGGAAUUGGCUUUGGGGGUGACCAGUGAAAAAUUCCUGCUGGAGCGUGUGCUACGGGCUGUGGGUCAUCCAGCAGGACAACGACCUCAAACCCACAUCAAAAACCACCCAGGAAAGAUUCAACAAUAAAUACUGGACUGUUCUGGAGUGACCAGUCAAGAGUCCCCAUCUGAAUCACAUCCAUAACCUAUGGAGAGAGCUGAGAACAGCAGUUGGAGGGCACCCGACAAACAUUGAAGAAUUAAAGCAGUUUGCUGAUGAAAAGUGGGACAAACCUCCAGUAGAAAGGUUCAGCAAGCUCAUUGAUGGCUACAAGAAGCAUUUGUCUGCAGCUAUCUUGGCCAAAAGCUGUGUAACCAAGUGCUUGCUCUGGGGGUAUCUAUAAUUUUGUCCAUGCCAUUUGUCUUUAUUUUCUCAAUUAAAAUUGUGAACUUAAGUUUACCAAAAUAAAA